CAGAAGCAGUAAGUGUAAUGGAUUGUGAAUUUAUAUUAGUUACUAGCAAUAUUAGUUUAAGUUUUGUAUUCGUAAUACAGUAGCAAGAAACGAUUUCCCCAAAUAAUAUUGUUUGAAACUUGCGCAUAAGCAGGGCCGAAGGAAGAUGCCGGUUAAAUCCAUAACUGCUAAAACAUGCACGAAGAGCUGGAGUAAGUGGUGACUUGCUACAGCCUGCAGGAGCACGUGUAAUUGAGGAAGAGUCUUGUUCUCAUUUAGCAGGCAGUGACACAUCCCCACAAGCUUCCACAUGAACAGUUUUGUGCUGCAAUAUCCUCUGAUUGGACUGCUGCACACACCAGUGAUUGGGCCGUACAGCGCCGCAUCUCAUUUCUGGGUGACUAUGGAAGGCUUGUCCCAGGUGAGACGAAAUGUGAAAACAUUCAUAAUCAUGUGGGACAAUGUGGCAUUUCACCAUGCCCGUGCCCUCACAGAGCGGUUUGAAGUAAAUGGAUGUAAAGUAAAAGGAUGGUAAAUGGUAAAUGGUUGGCAUUUAUAUAGCACGCAUUCAUACACACACUCACACACCGACAGUGAUUGGCUGCCAUGCAAGGCACCGACCAGCUUGUCAGGAGCAUUUGGGGGUUAGGUGUCUUGCUCAGGGACACUUCGACACAGCCCGGGCGGGGGAUCGAACCGGCAACCCCCCCAACUGCCAGACGACUGCUCUUACUGCCUGAGCCAUGUCGCCCCCGGAUGAUGUCAAUUUUCCUCCCAUCUUACUCGCCAAGCCCACUCGCCUUAACCCCAAAGAGGAACUCUUUUCCUCAUGGAGGAAGAAGGUGCAUGUAUGACCGCCGUCCACGUGAUCAGACGUCCCUCCUGAAUGCCAUGACUGCUGCAUGCCAGGACAUGUAUGCAGGAGACUGCCAGUGAUCGAUCAGGCAUUCAAAGAGGUUUUUUCUCCAAGUGUAUGGCAAGAGAUGUAAGGUGUGACAUUGAUGAAAACUUGUGGUCCAAUCCAGAUGACAAGGUUGACUAGCAUUGAUGUACAUGCAUGAUGUACAUACAUAUUUAUCAAUGAAUACAUUUUCUACAGUAGCACUACAGUAUGUCUGUCUUUUUUUCCUUCUAUGGUAUUGGAAUUGCUGUUUCAUUUAUUAUAUUUUGUGUUUCCAUUGUGUGCUGGCAUUUUGGAAUUACAGUACAACUGCACAUGCAACAAA